rnacentral:rRNA from 1 species
AGUGAACGCUGGCGGUAGGCCUAACACAUGCAAGUCGAACGGCAGCACAGUAAGAGCUUGCUCUUACGGGUGGCGAGUGGCGGACGGGUGAGGAAUACAUCGGAAUCUACUUUUUCGUGGGGGAUCACGUAGGGAAACUUACGCUAAUACCGCAUACGACCUACGGGUGAAAGCAGGGGAUCUUCGGACCUUGCGCGAUUGAAUGAGCCGAUGUCGGAUUAGCUAGUUGGCGGGGUAAAGGCCCACCAAGGCGACGAUCCGUAGCUGGUCUGAGAGGAUGAUCAGCCACACUGGAACUGAGACACGGUCAAGACGCCUAAGGGAGGCAGCAGUGGGGAAUAUUGGACAAUGGGCGCAAGCCUGAUCCAGCCAGACCGCGUGGGUGAAGAAGGCCUUCGGGUUGUAAAGCCCUUUUGUUGGGAAAGAAAAGCAGCAGGUUAAUACCCCGCUGUUCUGACGGUACCCAAAGAAUAAGCACCGGCUAACUUCGUG